rnacentral:rRNA from 1 species
UACGUAGGGUGCAAGCGUUGUCCGGAAUUAUUGGGCGUAAAGAGCUCGUAGGCGGUUUGUUGCGUCGGCUGUGAAAUCCCGAGGCUCAACCUCGGGUCUGCAGUCGAUACGAGCAAACUAGAGUGUUGCAGGGGAGACUGGAAUUCCUGGUGUAGCGGUGAAAUGCGCAGAUAUCAGGAGGAACACCGGUGGCGAAGGCGGCGAUCUGGGCAGUUACUGACGCUGAGGUGCGAAAGCGUGGGGAGCAAACAGG